rnacentral:rRNA from 1 species
UACGUAGGUGGCAAGCGUUGUCCGGAUUUACUGGGCGUAAAGAGCGCGCAGGCGGCUUGGCAAGUCCGAUGUGAAAGCUUCCGGCUUAACUGGAAAAUUGCAUCGGAAACUGCUCGGCUUGAAGGUGGGAGAGGGUAGCGGAAUUCCCGGUGUAGUGGUGAAAUGCGUAGAUAUCGGGAGGAACACCAGUGGCGAAGGCGGCUACCUGGCCCACUCUUGACGCUGAGGCGCGAAAGCUAGGGGAGCAAACGGG